AACGCGAAGAACCUUACCAGGUCUUGACAUCCCACUGAGCGCGUAGAGAUACGCGGGCCCUUCGGGGAGGUGGAGACAGGUGGUGCAUGGUUGUCGUCAGCUCGUGUCGUGAGAUGUUGGGUUAAGUCCCGCAACGAGCGCAACCCCUAUGUUCAGUUACUAACGCGUAGAGGCGAGGACUCUGGACAGACUGCCGCGGAUAACGCGGAGGAAGGUGGGGAUGAUGUCAAAUCAUCAUGCCCCUUAUGACCUGGGCUACAAACGUGCUACAAUGGCCGCAACAAAGAGGGACGAAAGCGCAAGCUGGAGGGAAUCUCAAAAAAGCGGUCCCAGUUCGGAUCGUGGGCUGCAACCCGCCCGCGUGAAGUCGGAGUUGCUAGUAAUCGCGGAUCAGCAUGCCGCGGUGAAUGCGUUCCCGGGUCUUGUACACACCG
rnacentral:rRNA from 1 species